rnacentral:rRNA from 1 species
GACGAACGCUGGCGGCGUGCUUAACACAUGCAAGUCGAACGGAAAGGCCCUGCGUGUGUGGGGUGCUCGAGUGGCGAACGGGGGAGUAACACGUGAGUAACCUGCUCUUGACUUUGGGAUAUCUUCAGGAAACUGGGGCUAAUACCGGAUAGGAGCUCCUGCUGCGUGGUGGGGGGUGGAAAGUCUCGGCGGUCGGGGAUGGACUGGCGGCUGAUCAGCUUGUUGGUGGGGUAGGGGCUGACCAAGGCUUUGGCGGGUCGCCGGCCUGUGAGGGUGGCCGGCCACAAUGGGACUGAGAUACGGCGCAGACGCCUACGGGAGGCAACAGUGGGGAGUAUUGCACAAUGGGCGGAAGCCUGAUGCGGAGACGCUGCGUGCGGGAUGACGGCCUUCGGGGUGUAAACAGCUUUCGCCUAUGACGAAGCGUGAGUGACGGUAAUGAAUAAAGAAGCACCGGCUAACUACGUG